rnacentral:rRNA from 1 species
CUCAGGACGAACGCUGGCGGCGUGCCUAAUACAUGCAAGUUGAACGCAACAUAAACACCAGAGCUUGCUCUACCGUUUAUGUUGAGUAGCGAACGGGUGAGUAACGCGUGGGUAACCUACCUAUCAGCGGGGGAUAACUAUUGGAAACGAUAGCUAAUACCGCAUAACAAUGUUGGAUGCAUAUUCGACAUUUGAAAGUACCAAAUGGUACACUGAGAGAUGGACCCGCGUUGUAUUAGCUAGUUGGUAGUGUAAUGGACUACCAAGGCGAUGAUACAUAGCCGACCUGAGAGGGUGAUCGGCCACAUUGGGACUGAGACACGGCCCAAACUCCUACGGGAGGCAGCAGUAGGGAAUCUUCGGCAAUGGACGAAAGUCUGACCGAGCAACGCCGCGUGAGUGAAGAAGGUUUUCGGAUCGUAAAACUCUGUUGUUAGAGAAGAACAUUGCAUAGAGUGGAAAAUUAUGCAAGUGACGGUAUCUAACCAGAAAGGGACGGCUAACUACGUGCCAGCAGCCGCGGUAAUACGUAGGUCCCGAGCGUUGUCCGGAUUUAUUGGGCGUAAAGCGAGCGCAGGUGGUUUAUUAAGUCUGAUGUAAAAGGCAGUGGCUCAACCAUUGUGUGCAUUGGAAACUGUUAGACUUGAGUGCAGUAGAGGAGAGUGGAAUUCCAUGUGUAGCGGUGAAAUGCGUAGAUAUAUGGAGGAACACCGGUGGCGAAAGCGGCUCUCUGGACUGUCACUGACACUGAGGCUCGAAAGCGUGGGUAGCAAACAGGAUUAGAUACCCUGGUAGUCCACGCCGUAAACGAUGAGUGCUAGUUGUUUGGGGCUAUCCAGCGCUAAGUGACGCAGCAAACGCAUUAAGCACUCCGCCUGGGGAGUACGACCGCAAGGUUGAAACUCAAAGGAAUUGACGGGGGCCCGCACAAGCCCUGGAGCAUGUGGUUUAAUUCGAAGCAACGCGAAGAACCUUACCAGGUCUUGACAUACUCGUGCUAUUCCUAGAGAUAGGAAGUUCCUUCGGGACACGGGAUACAGGUGGUGCAUG